rnacentral:rRNA from 1 species
UACGGGGGGGGCAAGCGUUGUUCGGAAUUACUGGGCGUAAAGGGUGCGUAGGCGGCUUUCUAAGUUGGAUGUGAAAACUAUGGGCUCAACCCAUAGCCUGCAUCCAAAACUGGAGAGCUUGGGUUCUGGAGGGGAAAGCGGAAUUCCUGGUGUGGCGGUGAAAUGCGUAGAUAUCAGGAGGAACACCGGUGGCGAAGGCGGCUUUCUGGACAGACACCGACGCUGAGGCACGAAAGCUAGGGGAGCAAACAGG